rnacentral:rRNA from 1 species
AUGACACUUGUGAGCCAUUCCACCCAAAAGAACAUGACACAUACACUUCAAAUCAAAUCCGGGGACAUGAUGUUGUACGCAGGCUUCCAGAACCCCCAACCAUACUGGUCCGCACUGCAGGAUAAUAGGCUGAUCGUUAACAAGGAUGGCGCCAUCUACUCUGCGAGUCUCAAUGCAACUUCUUGGUACUUCUAUGAUAAAUCAGGGUCUCUUCUAUCACAGUUCGUCAUAACGCAGCAGGGUGAUGCCAACACCACUUUAGCUGCUGUCCUCGAUGAGGAUGGGUCGAUCGCCUUCUAUAUGCUGCAGAGUGCGAAUGGCAAGACUAAUCUGCCAACCCCAAUCCCACAAGACUCGUGUGACACGCCAACCCACUGCAAACCAUACUCUAUUUGCAAUAGUGGGACAGGAUGCCAAUGCCCUUCAGUCCUCGGCUCCUCUCCAAACUGUGACCCUGGUCUCACAUCAUCUUGUAAAUCAAAAGAGGCGUUUCAGCUGGCUCAACUGGAAAGUGGAGUUGAAUAUAUCGGUACGAGCUUCACCUCACCUGUGGCUAAGACAAACAUCACAGGUUGCAAGAAUACUUGCAUGGGAAAUUGCUCAUGCAUCGCCGUCUUCUUUGACCAAAAAACAGGCAAUUGCUUCAUUUUUGACCAGAUUGGUAGCUUGCAGCAGGAAGGUGGAAAUAAAACUAAUUUUUCAUCUUUCAUCAAGGUAUCUAGCAGUGGCUCAGGGCAAGCUGGGAGUGGCAGUGGCGGUGGAAACCACAAUAUCAUUAUUGUUGUCAUUAUAGUUGGAACUUUGGCUGUCAUCGGUGGCCUCAUUUAUGUCGGUUUCUUCAUUUAUAGGAGGAAGAGGUAUCCUCCGUCCUCACAAGAUGAGGCUGGUUCAUCGGAGGACGAUGGAUAUCUGCAGACAAUAUCUGGAGCACCAGUGCGGUUCACUUACAGGGAGCUCCAGGAUGCAACAAACAACUUCUCUAACAAGCUUGGCCAAGGAGGAUUUGGAUCUGUAUAUCUGGGAACACUCCCAGAUGGCAGUCGCAUCGCUGUAAAGAAGCUGGAGGGAAUAGGUCAAGGGAGGAAAGAGUUCCGCUCCGAGGUGACAAUAAUUGGCAGCAUCCACCACAUCCAUCUAGUUAAACUCCGAGGCUUCUGUGCUGAGGAUUCACACAGGCUUCUUGCAUAUGAAUACAUGGCGAAAGGGUCACUUGAAAGGUGGAUCUUCCGUACCAAGGAGGAUGAUCCCCUUUUGGACUGGGAUACAAGGUUUAAUAUUGCACUUGGAGCAGCAAAGGGAUUGGCAUACCUCCAUCAAGACUGUGAAUCGAAGAUCAUUCAUUGCGACAUCAAGCCUGAGAAUUUCCUGCUUGAUGACAACUUCCUUGUGAAGGUAUCUGACUUUGGCCUUGCCAAGUUGAUGAGCAGGGAGCAGAGCCAUGUUUUUACGACGAUGAGAGGCACGCGGGGCUACCUCGCGCCCGAGUGGAUCACCAACUACGCCAUCUCAGAGAAGAGCGACGUAUACAGCUACGGGAUGGUUCUGCUUGAGAUUAUCAGCGGGAGGAAAAACUUUGACCCCGUGGAAGGCUCAGAAAAGGCCCAUUUCCCGUCCUUCGCUUUCAAGAAGCUGGAGGAGGGCGAUCUUCGCGAGAUCCUUGACGCCAAGCUGAUGUACAACGACAAGGAUGAGCGACUGGAAAUCGCGAUCAAGGUUGCUCUGUGGUGCAUCCAGGAGGAUUUCUACCAGAGACCGUCCAUGUCGAAGGUGGUUCAGAUGCUCGAGUGCGUCUGCGACGUGCCCCAGCCACCGAUAUCCUCACAGAUCGGAUAUAGGCUCUAUGCGAAUGCCCUCAAAUCGAGCAGCGAGGAGGGCAUGUCGUCGGGUAUGUCGGACUACAACAGUGAGGCUCUGCUUUCAGCAGUGCGGCUCUCUGGUCCUAGAUGA